rnacentral:lncRNA from 1 species
AUGAGACCUGCUGCCAGGAGACUGGAGGCUGUGGGACUGUGCCAGACCUUUCAGGGUCUCACACGCUUUGAGACCUCCCUUCACCUGCCUCGACAUGAGAAUGAAAAGCCCAGUCCUGAAAGUUUAUCCCCGAACCCCACAAGAAGCUGCCCUGCUGAGCAAACAGCUCCAUCCCAGCACCAUGAGUACUGCAGCCUCACACAUCAGGGACACCUCUGCUGGCCCCCUCAAGUGACCCCUGCAGAAAGAGCACCAGGAAGGAGAUGCAGCCCCUUUCCACUGCGAGCCUGGCCAUGGAUACCCCCCAUCUCCAUUUCCAGGGUUGAGGGGGAUGUUUCUCCAUGGCCCUCAGCAAUGUCCAACCUGUACCUAAGGACAAGGACCUCAGCUGCUACAUCCAGAGGGAUGGAGAACAUAUUUCAGGCCAUAACCUCCAUCCCCACCACCAAGAAAUCCUUACCUAUGUCAAUAAAUAAAUACAUAAACACAUCCUUCGAGCCGCCUCUCUCUCUCUCUAACAUCCUCUGUCUGCUACUCUGGCACUGGACACUCCUUGAUCUCUCACCUAGAACACCAAAAAAGUUACAAUUACAGAGAGGAGGUGAAGGAGAGAGACCCAUUACCUCCAUACUUAUCCCCAGAUCCCUCCCCACAUCCCCCAAGCAUCAGGGCACUGCCUCUUCUGCCAGGUUUGCUCUACUGUGGCCGGCUGGCCCGGCCUGGGAGACCCAAGACCUGAACAAAGACCAACACCACCUUCUCUGCCUGUGCCCAGCUGUCCAGUCCCCACACCCUCAGUACCCCAUCGUUUACUUGGCACGUGCCACAAAGCCUGAAUGUGGUUCUUCCCUUACCCCUCACCGGUAUCGCUCGGACACUGCACGUCACACCUCGAGGCAACUCCUUCCCAUCCCUUUUGCUCUCUCCCUCUUCUCCCUGCUCAUCUCCUGGGUGGCACAAACGUAUCGUAGGGUCAAGAAAUAAAAAACCCACACAAAACUGUCCUGCCAUCACUAACAAUCAACUUCUGAUCCUACAAAUGUGCUGGAUGGUUUGAAGCAGCCGGCACCCCGAGGCUGAGGACCAAAUGCACUAAGCAACCUGCAAAUCACCAAAACACCAAGACACCGACCAAGACAAGCCCCUGGAGACAGCAAGUUUCACCUGCACCCAAACUCUGUCCUGCCAUGCUUUGCCUGUAGAGUGUUUCACGAGCAACCUGGUUUCCUACACCCACCUCACAUGGCUGUCUCUCCUUCCCACGCGGGAUUCGCUUCGACUGCUCCACGAACAUCCCCUGCAACGCUGUGCUGCUGGGGCAGAGAGCCAAACAAUGAGCUUUUGG